UUGCAGUUAACAAACUAUCUGAUAAACCUGUGUGUGAGUCAGAUAUGUCUGCUGCUAAUCUAUUGGUUAUAAAAUAUCACAGCCUUUUCUGAUUGGCUGAGUUCAAAUACAGAAAGUUUACCUGUUAGAUUGAAAUUCUGGCGUAUUGCAGAAAAUAUGCAGGUUAAACUUGUUGUUAAAAUGAAGUUAAUGUAAUGUUCACAAACAGUAGAGUUAAUGAGAUUUUCCAUUAACAAGAAUUUCUUAAAAUUAUAAUGUAUGGAUAUCAUUUGGAAAGUGACAUGAAAUGUUGUUAAAAAGUGAUGCAUACAAGUGUUUCAGAAGUCUGUCUAGGAAUAGAACAACAACUGAAGCUGACCAGUUGAUGGAAGAUACUGCAGAGUUUGGCAGGGAAAUAACCCAAGACAGCAAAGCGGCUCUUUUGGCGCAUUUACCAAGAGGACUAACAUGGCCACAAAUUCAUGAGAUCAUGCAGGAGCCGUACAGUAUAACAGCAGUACAAGUUCUAUAAAAGAUCCACGACCUACUGAAGCCUAGCUAAUUAACAAAAAAGUUUUUAAAAACUGUAAUUUUAUCCCACCUGGGUACUUAUAAUUUACUAAGCUGCCUUCACAAGUUUUAGACUUGCAAUUAUAUUUUAAACUGUCACUUGGAAAGUAAUACAUGUACAUGCAUUAUGUUCUGAAUUUCU